GCGCGAAACCUCCGCAAUGCACGCAAGUGCGACGGGGGGACCCCAAGUGCCACUCUUAACGGGGUGGCUUUUCAGGAGUGUAAAAAGCUCCUGGAAUAAGGGCUGGGCAAGACCGGUGCCAGCCGCCGCGGUAACACCGGCAGCUCGAGUGGUAGCCGCGUUUAUUGGGCCUAAAGCGUCCGUAGCCGGUCCGAUAAGCCUCUGGUGAAAGCCCACAGCUCAACUGUGGGAAUCGCUGGAGAUACUAUCGGACUUGAGGCCGGGAGAGGCUGGAGGUACUCCCAGGGUAGGGGUGAAAUCCUAUAAUCCUGGGAGGACCACCUGUGGCGAAGGCGUCCAGCUGGAACGGACCUGACGGUGAGGGACGAAAGCCAGGGGCGCGAACCGGAUUAGAUACCCGGGUAGUCCUGGCCGUAAACGAUGCGGACUUGGUGUUGGGACGGCUUUGAGCUGUCCCAGUGCCGAAGGGAAGCUGUUAAGUCCGCCGCCUGGGAAGUACGGCCGCAAGGCUGAAACUUAAAGGAAUUGGCGGGGGAGCACCACAACGCGUGGAGCCUGCGGUUUAAUUGGAUUCAACGCCGGACAUCUCACCAGAGGCGACAGCAGGAUGAUGGCCAGGUUGAUGACCUUGCUUGACAAGCU
rnacentral:rRNA from 1 species